rnacentral:rRNA from 1 species
CAUGCAAGUCGUACGAGAAAUCCUGGGCAACUGGGAGAGUAAAGUGGCGCACGGGUGAGUAACGCGUGGGUAACCUAUCCUUGAAUUGGGGAUAACUCUUCGAAAGGGGAGUUAAUACCGAAUAAUAUUCCAAUUCCCCCGGGAGUUGGAAUCAAAGGUGGCCUCUGCAUGCAAGCUAUCGUUUAUGGAUGGGCCCGCGUACCAUUAGCUAGUUGGUAGGGUAAUAGCCUACCAAGGCAACGAUGGUUAGCUGGUCUGAGAGGAUGGCCAGCCACACUGGAACUGAGACACGGCCCAGACUCCUACGGGAGGCAGCAGUGGGGAAUCUUGCGCAAUGGGGGAAACCCUGACGCAGCAACGCCGCGUGGGUGAUGAAGGCCUUCGGGCCGUAAAGCCCUGUCAGGUGGAAAGAAAAUUGUGGAUGUUAAUACCAUCCAUGCUUGACGG